GAACGCGCACGCACGCAGCACGCUGACCCCGCCCCCAGUUCCACCCCGCCCCUCCGAGUCGCCGUCAGCUAGGCUUCGGCCCCGCCUUCCCCACGGCUUUCCGGAGUCCACUUAAAGAAGCCUCGCAGAGGAGGGUGGAAUACUGUCAUCUGGACGGAAGGAGCUGCUCGGCCAUGGGGCACUGUAACUCUUAGGAAGAAUCAAGGAUUUCUGCAGCAGGGAAGCUGGAGAAGGAAGGAAGACUGAACACCAGAGCCCACUUACAGAAAGACUGAAGCCUGGAGUUUUUGCUACUUUAUAUGGCUGAGCUAAAACAGUAACUCCUUGCUUUGUCCAUGUCUGCUUCUGGAUGAGAACCAAUAACUUCUAAACAAUGAUACAACCUAUGGGGAAUUCAAGCAAGGACUGCAUCUUUUCCAUCGCUAGUAACUCUUUCAGGGGAUACAAUGACACAUAAAGCACAGACAGUAAGACCUGAGAGGAAGAAGAUAAAAGGAAGCCUGUGGAACCAGAGUGUUAAGAAAUCUCCGUAGCUAACAACCUGCUAGCAAAGAACAGGAUGCCUAACAUAAUUUGUUAAGUGUCAGCCAGUGCUUUAGCCCUGCUGCCCCUGUCUGCUCUGCCUGAACGAAUUGCAUUCUGAGCAAGCAAAAGCUAUGGCCCCGGAGACGGCUGACAUGACCUCGCUAACACACAGUCCAGUCCUACUGCCUGAUUCUUUUUGCUCUUAUACCAAGACAUUUGCCUCUGACAGUAUUUGGAUUUCUGGCCAUCGUGAUGACCACUUCGGACCCGCCUUUGUCCCCCCACCAAAUUUAAGAAGGAAACAGCUUUAAAAAUCAUCAAUGAACUAAUCAGUUCAUUCGUUCUCAGCAUCGGGGAGUCAAGCUCCUAUUCCUUCCCUCCUCCUCCUUCCACAUUUUGUAAACAUCGAGAAUUUUAUGGGCCCAUCAUCUGUUACCUGGCCGUACUCAGGCAGAGAUUUACCUCCACGGACAGUUCCAAGACUGAAAGGAUUGGGAAAUCAUGUAUGAUUAACCCUCAGGAUAAUCAAUGACCUCAAUAAUUAUGUUUUGAGACUAUUAGGUCCCGGGGAUCUAAAGACAUUAUCCCUGUCUUCUCCCAAAGCUUCGGUUUUCUUCUCAAUAAACAAGCUUAAGUUUGUUUUUGCAUUGGGUAGAAGGUAACCCUGGACGCCCCGGCCACUGGAAAUGGAUUUCAAGCAGAACUAGCGUGUGGCAGGGCCCUCCAAGAAGAAUCUGGAUUCAAGCGCGGUGUUGAGGAAGAACGUGGAGAAGAAUGAGGCAGAGACUUGAGGCCCAUGGGAAGCAGCCUCUCGUGCUUAACCGCUAAGCCACCCAGGCGCCCCUAGCCUCUCGUGCAUAGGACGUCUGUGUCACCGGUGGCGUUGAGGAGUGCAGACGGUGUGCAGAAAUUGGGCUCGCCAGCCCCUUAUACUGACUGAUGAAAGUAUGGAUGAAAGUUACAGAGCAGUUAAGUAACUUGCCCAAGGUUACACAGGAAGGAAGUGACAAAACUGGGAUUUGAACUCUUCAACCUGGGCAUCUAUCAACAACCCUUUCUGCUGCCUGUUUUCAGGAACGAUGGGACAGAGGUCUUCAGCACUGUCCUCUUGUGACGGGAAUGAUGGAUGCCUGGACACUCAGAUCUUCUUUCUCUCUGGCGGUCAUUGUUCUGGACACCCACAGGCAACCGAAAGUGGCUGCAAUCCUCCUUCGUGGACGCAGAGGAUCCCACCCUCAUCACCGACCUCACCAGAGACAGGCAGGCAGGCAGUUUACCCACACUGAA